CACGGAGGAUGCGAGCGUUAUCCGGAUUUAUUGGGUUUAAAGGGUGCGUAGGCGGGAUGCCAAGUCAGCGGUAAAAAUGCGGUGCUCAACGCCGUCGAGCCGUUGAAACUGGCGUUCUUGAGUGGGCGAGAAGUAUGCGGAAUGCGUGGUGUAGCGGUGAAAUGCAUAGAUAUCACGCAGAACUCCGAUUGCGAAGGCAGCAUACCGGCGCCCUACUGACGCUGAGGCACGAAAGCGUGGGUAUCGAACAGG
rnacentral:rRNA from 1 species